rnacentral:rRNA from 1 species
GUAGGUGGCAAGCGUUGUCCGGAAUUAUUGGGCGUAAAGCGCGCGCAGGCGGUUCUUUAAGUCUGAUGUGAGAGCCCACGGCUCAACCGUGGAGGGUCAUUGGAAACUGGAGAACUUGAGUACAGAAGAGGAAAGCGGAAUUCCACGUGUAGCGGCGAAAUGCGUAGAGAUGUGGAGGAACACCAGUGGCGAAGGCGGCUUUCUGGUCUGUAACUGACGCUGAGGCGCGAAAGCGUGGGGAGCAAACAGGGAUUAGAUACCCUGGUAGUCCACGCCGUAAACGAUGAGUGCUAAGUGUUAGGGGGUUUCCGCCCCCUUAGUGCUGCAGCUAACGCAUUAAGCACUCCGCCUGGGGAGUACGGCCGCAAGGCUG